ensembl:misc_RNA Metazoa_SRP Metazoan signal recognition particle RNA
GCUGGGCAUGGUAUCGCGCCCCUGUAGUCCCAGCUACUCGGGAGGCUGAGGUGGGAGGAUCGGCCCAGGACUUCUGGGCUAUGUCGAUCAGGUGUCCGCACUAAGUUUGGCAUCAAUAUGGUGACCUCCCGGGAGCGGGGCACCACCAGCUUGCGUAAGGAGGAGUGAUCCGGCCCAGGUCGGAAACGGAGCAGGUCAAAACUCCCAUGCUGAUCAGUAGUGGGAUCAUGCCUGUGAAUAGCCACUGCACUCCAGCCCGGCAGCAUAGCAAGACCAUGUCUCUU